AUACGUAGGGGGCGUAGCGUUAUCCGGAUUUACUGGGCGUAAAGGGUGCGUAGGUGGUUUCUUAAGUCAGGAGUGAAAGGCUACGGCUCAACCGUAGUAAGCUCUUGAAACCGGGAAACUUGAGUGCAGGAGAGGAAAGUGGAAUUCCUAGUGUAGCGGUGAAAUGCGUAGAGAUUAGGAAGAACACCAGUGGCGAAGGCGCUUCUCUGGACUGUAACUGACGCUGAGGCUCGAAAGCAUGGGUAGC
rnacentral:rRNA from 1 species